AAACGCUCAUGAACGCGCGCACUCUUCAGCGUGCGCCGUGGGGUUGCUUCACGCUGUCUCGCAUGCGUCAAAUUUCAGCUCGACAUUUUAUGAUCCUUUGUGAGUUUAAGGAAGACGGAUCGUCGUCAGUUUUAGCCGAGACUCGUUUAUACGCCACUUCAACACUUCGGGAGGUCUGUCCAUAACAUUAUGUCUCUCACCGUGACUACUAUUGGUCCCAGUGCAACAGACGUUGCACCAACAACUGCAGCUCCACAGCAAACAGACUCUGCUGUCAUAGGAGUGGUGAUUGCGCUUGUCCUGGUGACAUUUGCUCUCUGUGGAUUCCUCCUGUACCGAUACCUGUGCCACAACAAGGGUGUUUAUAGGACAGCAGGUGAGCCUGCUCCAGGAGUUGACCCAGACCAGGUCUACAAUGAUACUGUCACUCCAGGCAAAAAGGAGUACUUCAUCUGACCUGCUCGGAGGUAUUCAACAAUCAACUACGGACUAGACCUCUGAAUACAGUCUAUACGGUGUGCCAAGUGCGGAAGGACGAAACGCUUGGUUAAAUGGAUACAGAUUGAGUUAUAUGGUGCUGUAUUAAUGGAAGGAUUAAGAUAAGUGAAAAAUAUCAGUUUAUUUGUAACAUCAACAAGCGUGCCAUUGUUAGGAUUUGUCUUUGAUUUUCGUAUGGUAAAGUUACAGAGACAAUCAUUUAUUUUGUGCUGACAUUUUUAAGCCUAAAUAUAAUUAGUAGUCCAAAAACAUAGUAUAAUCACAGUUUCAGCAGAAUGCCAGGGAAGUCUGAUGAGAUUCUUAAAUACAGUGUAUUAUUUAUUAUAACCUUGCAUGAGUUUAGCAAGUGGAAGCCAAACAUUGGCAGCAGUGUACAGAUUUUUUUAAAGAUGCAUGACACUACAGUGCUAAUAAGUGUUCUCCUUUGCCUUUGGUAACCCCAUUCUUUUUUUAAUUGAUUUUAAACAAAAAUGAAGUUGGAGAAUCCACUGUUACAGUGCCUUGCAAACCAUUUAAAUGUAUUUGUUUUGGACACUUUAUAACUGAUGAUUGUUUUUUGUUACAAAGUCAUGGCGUGACAGUGCCAAAUAUAAAUAAUACCUCUGUCAGGAUGUUCUGAUCAAAUUCACGUUUUGUGCAGGGUUACAGCAUCUUUGCCGUUAUAAAAAUGAAUGCAAUUUGUCAAUUUCCAAUGUGUCUUUUUUCCUAUGCCUGUUUAUUAAGUUUUAAAUGCAAAAUCGGAUCUACACCUCUACACUCUAAAAAAAAAAAAACGCUACAGACGUGCUCAAAUUUGUUGGUACCCUUACAGCUCAUUGAAAUAACUCAACUCAACUCAACUCAACUUUAUUUAUAUAGCGCUUUUACAAUUUUCAUUGUUACAAAGCAGCUGCACAUGAGACACAUUGACUACAAGCAAAACAAUCAAAAGUUGUACCUGCAAAAACAAGAAAAGGUUGAAACACAGAAGACAGACACACCCACACACAAAACACUCCACACACACAACACGCACAAACACACGCAGACACAGAGACACACACACGGAUGCGCACGCACACACACACAACACACACACACGUACGUACACAGACAAGUACGCACACACACACACGCUCAGUGAGAGCACACAUUUAGGAUAAAGGAGAGAGAUGAUGAGAUGAGGGAUGAUGAGAAAUAAGGCUUCAUUCCUCCUGAAGAGUGAUGAAAUUAAAAGCUAUUGCAUUAUGUAUACUUGCAUGCCUUUGGUAUGUCAUAGAAUAAAGCAAAGAAGCUGUGGAAAGAGAUGAAUUGUUGCUUAUUCUACAAAGAUAUUCUAAAAUGGCCUGGACACAUUUGUUGGUACCCCUUAGAAAAGAUAAUACAGAAUUGGAUUAUGUGAUAUUUCAAACUAAUUAGUUUCUUUAAUUAGUAUCACACAUGUAUCCAAUCUUGGACAGCAGUCAUUCAGCUUAUUUAAACGGAGAAAACCAGUCACUGUGCUGUUUGGUAUCAUUGUGUGCACCACACUGAACACGGACCAGUGAAAGCAAAGGAUAGAGUUGUCUGAGGAGCUCAGAAAGAAAAUAAUAGACAAGCAUGGUAAAGGUAAAGGCUACAAGACCAUCUCCAAGCAGCUCGAUGUUCCUGUGACAACAGUUGAAAAUAUUAUUAAGAAGUUUAAGGUCCAUGGAAUCGUAGCCAACCUCCCUGGGCGCGGCCGCAAGAGGAAAAUCGACCCCAGAUUGAACCGAAGGAUAGUGUGAAUGGUAGAAAAAGAACCAAGGAUAACUGCCAAAGAGAUACAAGCUGACCUCCAGGGUGAAGGUACGUCAGUCUCUGAUCGCACCAUCCGUCGCUUUUUGGGCAAUAGAAGAAGACCCAGGAGGACUUCACUUUUGAAAGAAAAACAAAAAAAAAGCCAGAAUGGAAUUUUCUAAAAUUCAUAUUGACAAGCCACAAUCCUUCUGGGAGACUGUCUUUUGGACAGAUGAGUCAAAACUGGAGCUUUUUGGCAAGUCACAUCAGCUCUAUGUUCACAGACGAAAAAAUCAAGCUUUCAAAGAAGUGAACACCAUACCUACAGUGAAAUAUGGAGGCUCGGUUAUGUUUUGGGGCUGCUUUGCUGCAUCUGGCACAGGGUGCCUUGAUGGUCUUGAGAUUUAAUUGUGCCCUGCACAGAUUCAAGGCAUUCUGGAGCAAAACGUACUGCCCAGUUUCAGAAAGCUGUCUCAGUCGCAGGUCAUGGGUCCUCCAACAGGAUAAUGACUCAAAACACACCGCUAAAAUCACUCAAGAAAGUGGUAAGAACAAAACAUUGGACUAUUCUGAAGUGGCCUUCUAUGAGUCCUGAUCUGAAUCCUAUGGAACAUCUAUGGAAAGAGCUGAAACUUGCAGUCUGGAGAAAAGGCACCCAUCAAACCUGAGACUGCUGGAGCAGUUUGCUCAGGAAGAGCGGGCCAAACUACCUGUUAACAGGUGCAGAAGUCUCAUUGAGACCUACAGAAAACGUUUGCUUGCAGUGAUUGCCUCUAAAGGUUGUGCAAUAAAAUAUUAGGUUAGGGGUCCCAUCAUUUUUGUCCAUGACAUUUUCAUUUGUUUUAUUAUUUACAAUAUUAUGUUGAAUAAAAAAUCAAAAGCAAAGUCUGAUUUCUAUUUAAUAUGGAAUAAACAAUGGUGGAUGCCAAUUACUUUUGUCAGUUUCAAGUUCUUUCAGAGAAAAUUGUGCAUUCUUUGUUUUUUUUGUGGAGGGGUACCAACAAAUUUGAGCACGUCUGUAUAUAGCGCCUCAGUCAUCCCGAAGAACCUCUGAAGAACUACUAAAGCACCAAAAUAUGAUUAUAUAUAGCACUAAACGUGGUUCCCUUAUGAUUACAAGCCAAGAACCACGUUUAGUGCUAUAUAGCACUAUUUUUUUUAGAGUGUAUUGGUGAAGCUGUUAUUUCUUUGUCUUUAGGACUGUCCAAGUUAAACUGUUUUCUUUACAAUACCUCUGUAACCUGUGUCUAAAAGGACAGGACUGUGUUUCACUGAUACCUGAUUGAUCAAAUAUCUGUCAUCAUUAUAGUCAAAAGAAACAUGAAACAUGGCCACUGAAUAACAAAUUGGAGCACAGAAUGUCAAAAUUCAAAAUAGCUUUUAUUCUAAAUUUUGUUUUAUUCUUAAGGUUUAGUAUAAAAAAGUUAAGUGCACCACAAUAUUCAUUGGAGUUCCUUUUCCCAUGUAGCAAACUGGACCUUGAAUCCACGAUGCUGCAGUAUGCAACCAUUACAACCCAUCACAACCUUUGUUUUUAUAUAUAGGGAAAACAAAACGGUUCCCUGAACUGUAGUACCCACAUAAACUAAAGCCAUCCAUGGCUGUCAUGGUAUUGAGGCUCAAGAAAAGCAAUGUAUCUGCUACAUAGCAUAUACACAAACCAAACCGUGGCAUGUGCCAUGAUAAAAUGCUGCUCUAAGACUGAAACAGAUCUUGAGUUCUGAAAGCUUUGCCCUCUUAUGUAUUUGCCAUGUAUAGGUAUGGGAAAACAUCAAUGAAAUUGUAUUUGUUUAAGGAAUGGUCAGGUAACUAUUUUUAAAUUGAAUAAAAACCUACAUAAACACACAGAAAAUAAUCACAGAAAAUGAUAUUAAUGGUGGUAAAGCAACCAUUUUUUGUUUAAUAAUCAUCACAAUUGCAUUGACUGAUGAAGAAAGGAUUUCUUCCUUAUUUACAAAGACACAAACAACCUAAAUGAUGCCUAUGUUGCUUUGUUUGUUUCCAUAAGGGCAAAACCUUUAGAACUGAUGUCGGAUACCCAGUGAUGCACCUGAUACACAGAAACCCUAAAAAUGUGCCGUAUUGGGCAGACAGGCAUAAAAUUACAUUUUUUAGUUCAAUCAUAAAAUGUAUAUGGGGUAAUAAGAAACAUAACGGCAUGCUAGUGAUGAUUAAGAAAAAAGCAUUUCUAAGCAUUUCAUUGUUAUCUAGUAAAAUAAGCAGCAUUGAAGUCACAUCUAGCACAAGGUAACUGCUACAGAAGUCAUGUGUUUUAGUGUCAAACAAAAAAACAGCUGUUUUGAUUAUCAUUAAACAGUAAGAGGAGAAAUAAAGAUUUCUGGAAUUAUGAGACUAAACUGUGGUUUAAAAAUGGCUAGUGGAAUUUAAAGCAUUUUUUCAAGCAAGUUUUAUUUUCCGUAUAAUCAUUUUCAGUAAAACUGAGGUUAGAUUAUAAAG